AGAGUUUGAUCCUGGCUCAGAUUGAACGCUGGCGGCAGGCCUAACACAUGCAAGUCGAGCGGCAGCACGGGUACUUGUACCUGGUGGCGAGCGGCGGACGGGUGAGUAAUGCCUAGGAAUCUGCCUAGUAGUGGGGGAUAACGUCCGGAAACGGGCGCUAAUACCGCAUACGUCCUACGGGAGAAAGUGGGGGAUCUUCGGACCUCACGCUAUUAGAUGAGCCUAGGUCGGAUUAGCUAGUUGGUGAGGUAAUGGCUCACCAAGGCGACGAUCCGUAACUGGUCUGAGAGGAUGAUCAGUCACACUGGAACUGAGACACGGUCCAGACUCCUACGGGAGGCAGCAGUGGGGAAUAUUGGACAAUGGGCGAAAGCCUGAUCCAGCCAUGCUGCGUGUGUGAAGAAGGUCUUCGGAUUGUAAAGCACUUUAAGUUGGGAGGAAGGGCAGUUACCUAAUACGUGAUUGUUUUGACGUUACCGACAGAAUAAGCACCGGCUAACUCUGUGCCAGCAGCCGCGGUAAUAC
rnacentral:rRNA from 1 species